rnacentral:rRNA from 1 species
AUGGGGGCCGGUCUCUUUGGAUACCUUGACAAAACCACCAUCGAACCAGAAAAAACCCUAGUCAGCAAAACCUCCGAGGGCAAAGAUCAGGUCAUUCCUAACCCUGCUUAUGCUUCUUGGUUGAUCCAGGAUCAACAAAUCAUCGCCUACCUACUCCGCAAUCUCUCUAAGGAGGUGCUAGUUCAGGUUGCUUCCCUAGAUACAUCUCAUGCAAUCUGGACAGCCCUUGCCAAUAUGUUUUCCGCCCAAUCCCGCUCCAAAGCAAACCACGUUUGCAUCUCCCUCACCACCGCCCAGAAAGGAACCCAAUCUGCCGCCACAUACUUCGGUCACAUGCGA